UCAAACUUGGUCAUUUAGAGGAAGUAAAAGUCGUAACAAGGUUUCCGUAGGUGAACCUGCGGAAGGAUCAUUCACAAUAAAGUGUCUUUACUAGCACUUAUUAAAAAUCUAGUACCCACCUUGUGUGCAACGUGAUUGUGCAAGUCUCUUUUGGCUUGCAUAAAAACACCAACCUUUAUUAUCUUUAACAUUGUCUGAAAUAAAUAUAUGAAUAUAAAUUCAAAUAUAACUUUCAACAACGGAUCUCUUGGCUCUCGCAUCGAUGAAGAACGCAGC
rnacentral:misc_RNA from 1 species